AUUAAAAUUGGAUAUUAUAAUGUUGUUACUUUGAUAGCUGAGAAAUCUUGGAACGGGAUUGGGCCCAGUGAGUUGGGUGGGCCCAAAUAUUAAUUCCGUGACUUAGUGUAGCGUCAUUGUCCAAGGCAAAGACUGGAUUGAAGUUGCCUUAGUGUUGGGUGAUUGGGCCCAAUGGGCCAGGCCUCAUCCCAAACUCUAUGCAUAUAGGGCCAUGACAGCAGGGCAGAGGCUGUAAAUUCGAAUAUUCUUU
rnacentral:lncRNA from 1 species